AAAUCGACAUGUGAAGACAAGUAUGAAUUAAUAUGUAAUAUUUUAUAUACUCUUAGGUGUAAGCAUUAAAACGCAGUGCAUGUCUAAUAUGAAAAAAUACAUUUAAAUAAAAUAACCUUUAAAAACGAUUUUUAGAUACCAUUCUGUAGAAGUAUAGCUUUUUUUUAAAUGGCUACCACAAAAUCUUCUUGAAGAACUAUAAUAAAGUUUACUGUACUUAUCACACAGCGGUUGGCAAGGUUUUACUUCUUACCAUAAUAUAAUAAAUGCGAAUGUUUGGAUAGAUGAUUAUUAGCUGUGUCCUGAACGGCCACAUGGAUUUUGCUGAAAUUUGGCAUACAUGUAGAUCAUAGCCUAAAAGAACUUAUAAGCUACUACACUUAGUUUUUUUUUCAUCUCGCACGGACGUAGUCGCAGGCCACAUCUAGUAUGUUAUACGGCGGUUUGAAUAAGAAUUAAGAGUAUUAUUUGCAAGUUUCUGAAAUAUUCUGAAUAAUAAUAAAUUAAAAUAUUCUUCUGUAAUACAUGUUGGUAACAUGUUUUUCAUUCAUCAUAGUUGAGAAAUGCUACAAAACAUCAUGGAAAUCAUUUAAUUUAUCCAACCGUCUUUAGUGAAUGAGCUGCAUCUGCUAUUUUUCAGGAUAGUACAG